GAUGAACGCUGGCGGCGUGCUUAACACAUGCAAGUCGAACGGAAAGGCUCCUGCUUGCAGGGGUACUCGAGUGGCGAACGGGUGAGUAACACGUGGGUGAUCUGCCCUGCACUUCGGGAUAAGCCUGGGAAACUGGGUCUAAUACCGGAUAGGACGAUGGUUUGGAUGCCAUUGUGGAAAGUUUUUCGGUGUGGGAUGAGCUCGCGGCCUAUCAGCUUGUUGGUGGGGUAAUGGCCUACCAAGGCGUCGACGGGUAGCCGGCCUGAGAGGGUGUACGGCCACAUUGGGACUGAGAUACGGCCCAGACUCCUACGGGAGGCAGAAGUGGGGAAUAUUGCACAAUGGGCGCAAGCCUGAUGCAGCGAAGCCGCGUGGGGGAUGACGGCCUUCGGGUUGUAAACUCCUUUCGCUAGGGACGAAGCGCAAGUGACGGUACCUGGAGAAGAAGCACCGGCUAACUACGUG
rnacentral:rRNA from 1 species